rnacentral:tRNA from 1 species
UCCCUGGUGGCUCAGAUGGUGAAGAAUCUGCCUGCAAUGCAGGAGACCCGGGUUUGAUCCCUGGAUGGGGAA